rnacentral:lncRNA from 1 species
GGACAAAUUGUUGUGCGACAGGUUCAGAUGAGUUACGAAUGUCAAAGAGACCAUGCUCUGUGGUAUGGAACCUGAAAGCUGGUUCAUUGAAAGAUCAAGAGUUUCUAUCGAUUUCAAGUUACCAAUCUUUUCAGGGAUUAUCCCUGUGAGAUGAUUCAUGGACAAAUUCAAGGUUCCCAGCAUGACAAGGCUUGUUAGCUCUAAUGGCAUCUCUCCUGAUAAGUUAUUGUUUGAGAGGUCUAGGCUGUUAACAAGGUAAAGGAUGGUGCCAUAUUCAAGCACUCUUCCUUUUGCCACUACCUUCAGUUUUCCCUGGUAACGAUCUGAUGUAUCUUUAUCUGAGAUUUCAGAUGUUUUUCAAGCCACUCAAAUUACCAACACAUUGGGGAAUAUGACCAGAAAGCUUAUUGUGUGAGAGGUCCAAUAUGUGAAGAUUGGAAAGGCCACACAACUGUGAAGGAAUGCUUCCGGUGAAUGAGUUGGAACUCAAACGUAAAAUCAACAAAGAAAGCAUGCUUUCUCCUAUCCACGCCGGAAUGUUUCCAAAGAACUUGUUCUCCCCAAGAUCAAGACUCUUCAUGCCAGUGCAGUUUCUCAAUGAAGGAAGUUUGCCUGACAAGUUGUUGUUAGAGAGUAUCAAGUAUCUUAGUAAAACGAGAGAAUCCAUGGAUCUUGGAAUUGUACCAGAGAGGCUGUUGUUUGACAUAUCUACAAUAUACAACUCUGGUAUACUUUUCCAGAAAUGAGGAAUUUCACCAGUCAAGUAAUUAUUAGAAAGAACCAUGGUUGUCAACAGGCUUAGAUUUCCUAAAGACAAAGGAAUGCUUCCAGUCAGACCAUUCCUCGAGAUGUCUAAAUCGGACAAGGAGGGCAUCACGUCACCAAUGUUUGAAGGAAUUGGCCCUGAAAACUGGUUAUCCCGGAGGUAGAGUGUUNNNNNNNNNNNNNNNNNNNNGAAAGACUGGAAAGCCAUCUGAGAUCACUCUCAAUAACAUUAUUACUGAGAUCAAGAUGAAGCAAGUUUGAAAGGUUUCCAAGAUUGGCGGGAAUUAUUCCACCAAAAGAUGCACCAGAUAAAUUGAGGUGCGUCAUUUUCUCUAGUGAUCCUAUGAAACUUGGAAGUUCUAGACCCCCGAAAUUAUUCAUGCUCAAAUCCAAGUAAACCAAAUCUUUCAAAACAAGCAAAGAGGGACUGAUCUCACCUCCCAAAGCAUGCAGUGUUCCAUCAUCACCAUCACUGUCCAAACCCUCUGCAUAGGGGUUGCGAAGAUUAAGGCUUGCAACGCGCCCAGUUGUCUUGUUGCAGCCUAUACCUCUCCAAUUGCAGCAAUCAACUCCACUCCAAGAUGAAAGCCGGUCUGAAGGAUCACUGAGGCCCUCUCUGAGCUUCAGAAGGGCUUUCCUCUCGAUGUCCAUGCAACCCACGUUAGGAUCAGCAUUGCAGAAACCAAAUGUGACUGUGUGAAGGUAUGAAGUUCCUGACAGUAAUAGAAGUGAAAGAAGUAAGAACGAAGCAGUACAGUGUCCCAUGCUUCUUGGUUCUUAUGUUACGCAAUGGGAAAAUGGUAUAAAGAGAAGAAAAAGAGGCCUAUAUAUAUACAGAACCAAUGUAAUUCAUGGUGGGAAAAGAGAGGAUGAUUUACAGGACUUCCAAACCAUUGGUACCGACAGUUACCAAAAAUAAUGGACUGGUUUUGCUAAAGCCAAAGCUUUGCAAUUUCUAUUCAUUGGCAACAAGUCAAGUAACGUUGAUCAAAUUCAUGGAACCUGCCAUUAUGCAAAGACUUCCAAGUCAAUUUGAUGUCGACCCCAACCCAGACAUUGGAAAUACGAUAUAACCUGGGGACAUUUUCAACAGCAUUCAAAGGUUUCGACCCAUAAAAGACUUCAGGAAUGUUUGUCUUGCUCAUAGUAGCAUUCAAACGGAAAUAGGUCUUUUAGUCCUCUAUGGAAACAUGGCCACACAGCCACAAACCAGACUCUAGACCUCUAAAUCCUGGCUGUAUUGCUUUGAAAUUUCCAAACUUAUACAGAGUUGCAUACGAGGGCAUUAUGAUGCCGCGGACAGCAUCACUGUUUAUAUACCGCAAUUUGACUGAUUCAAUCAAUCAAAUUGUUAAUAAACAUAAGGGCAAUACACUCCAUAAUUAAAAAGUUGAAGACAAGUCCAUAGCAGGAGUUGCAUGAACAAAACUCGGUGUUUCUGUGUAACAAUCUAUUUCAAGGCCACAGCCCAAUUAGGAUCACUUAUCUAUGAUCAAUCAUCCGUGCGGAAGUAACGAUCGCCAAACUCACCCAACCCUGGUAUGACACGAAAUUCUUCAUUGAGGGCAACAUCAAUCUCUGAAGUGACAAUUUUCAAUGUUGGAAAUCGUUUGUAAACACAAUGAAUUCCCUCAGGAGCCUAUUUCAUAUUUCAUAACAUAAGUAGUACUACGUAACCAGCAAGCAUCACGAAGUACUCACAGAUAUUUGAUAACCAAACUCCCAAAAACCACCCAGAACCCCACAAUGAAACCUAUUGCUGUGCUGAUCAUGAGCCAUACCUUUUCAGAUUUAUCAUCAUCUCCUUCUCUAUCUUCACUUGGAACCUGAGGUGUUUCUUCAUUGUCUUGGCAAGGAGUUGGUAGCGGAUCGCCACAAAGACCAGCAUUGCCUUGGUAAAUUGAUGGAUCAUUGAGGCUGUUGAACUGGUUGCUUGUUGGGAUUUUCCCGGACAAAUUGUUGUGCGACAGGUUCAGAUGAGUUACGAAUGUCAAAGAGACCAUGCUCUGUGGUAUGGAACCUGAAAGCUGGUUCAUUGAAAGAUCAAGAGUUUCUAUCGAUUUCAAGUUACCAAUCUUUCCAGGGAUUAUCCCUGUGAGAUGAUUCAUGGACAAAUUCAAGGUUCCCAGCAUGACAAGGCUUGUUAGCUCUAAUGGCAUCUCUCCUGAUAAGUUAUUGUUUGAGAGAUCUAGGCUGUUAACAAGGUAAAGGAUGGUGCCAUAUUCAAGCACCCGUCCUUUUGAAACUACCUCCAGCUGUCCCUGGUA